UAGGGAAUCUUCCACAAUGGACGAAAGUCUGAUGGAGCAACGCCGCGUGAGUGAAGAAGGUUUUCGGAUCGUAAAGCUCUGUUGUUGGUGAAGAAGGAUAGAGGCAGUAACUGGUCUUUAUUUGACGGUAAUCAACCAGAAAGUCACGGCUAACUACGUGCCAGCAGCCGCGGUAAUACGUAGGUGGCAAGCGUUGUCCGGAUUUAUUGGGCGUAAAGCGAGCGCAGGCGGAAUGAUAAGUCUGAUGUGAAAGCCCACGGCUCAACCGUGGAACUGCAUCGGAAACUGUCAUUCUUGAGUGCAGAAGAGGAGAGUGGAACUCCAUGUGUAGCGGUGGAAUGCGUAGAUAUAUGGAAGAACACCAGUGGCGAAGGCGGCUCUCUGGUCUGCAACUGACGCUGAGGCUCGAAAGCAUGGGUAGCGAACAGGAUUAGAUACCCUGGUAGUCCAUGCCGUAAACGAUGAGCGCUAGGUGUUGGGGACUUUCCGGUCCUCAGUGCCGCAGCAAACGCAUUAAGCGC
rnacentral:rRNA from 1 species